rnacentral:rRNA from 1 species
CUACGGAGGAUGCGAGCGUUAUCCGGAUUUAUUGGGUUUAAAGGGAGCGUAGGCGGGAGCUUAAGUCAGCGGGUAAAUGGUGCGGCUCAACCGUGCCCUGCCGUUGAAACUGGGUUUCUUGAGAGGGUAAGAGGCGGAUGGCAUUCAUGGUGACGCGGUGAAAUGCUUAGAUAUCAUGAAGAACUCCGAUUGGGAAGGCAGUCCGCUGGGGCACGUCUGACGCUGAUGCUCGAAGGUGCGGGAAUCAAACAGGAUUAGAUACCCUGGUAGUCCGCACGGUAAACGAUGAUUACCCGCUGUCGGCGGUAGACAGUCGGCGGCCAAGCGAAAGCGAUAAGUAAUCCACCUGGGGAGUACGCCGGCAACGGUGAAACUCAAAUGAAUUGACGGGG